rnacentral:rRNA from 1 species
UACAGAGGUCUCAAGCGUUGUUCGGAUUCAUUGGGCGUAAAGGGUGCGUAGGUGGCGCCGUAAGUCGGGUGUGAAAAUUUCGGAGCUUAACUCCGAAACUGCAUUCGAUACUGCGGUGCUUGAGGACUGGAGAGGAGACUGGAAUUCAUGGUGUAGCAGUGAAAUGCGUAGAGAUCAUGAGGAAGACCAGUGGCGAAGGCGGGUCUCUGGACAGUUCCUGACACUGAGGCACGAAGGCCAGGGGGAGCAAACGGG